UACGACUCAAAAAAUUAAGUAUCAUGAGGGCAGACUAAUCAUUUAUCCCGAUGCAGGAUCAAUUGUUCCCUCACAUCAGGCAGUAUCGAUCAUAACAAAUAUUAUAAAAGAGAAGUACACACAAUUCUGGCCGUCUUAUGGAGCUGUACAUGAAGAUGAAAAGGAAAAAUGGUUUCAGGCAUUUCAGGAGCAUUGUGUUUGGGAUGUUAGAGAUGAGGCCGCGAUUAAAGAAAACUUUCAC